rnacentral:rRNA from 1 species
UGGGGAAUAUUGGACAAUGGGCGGAAGCCUGAUCCAGCAACGCCGCGUGAGGGAUGACGGCCUUCGGGUUGUAAACCUCUUUCAGUACCGACGAAGCGAAAGUGACGGUAGGUACAGAAGAAGGACCGGCCAACUACGUGCCAGCAGCCGCGGUAAUACGUAGGGUCCGAGCGUUGUCCGGAAUUAUUGGGCGUAAAGGGCUCGUAGGCGGUUUGUCGCGUCGGGAGUGAAAACAGCGGGCUUAACUCGUUGCUUGCUUUCGAUACGGGCAGACUAGAGGUAUGCAGGGGAGAAUGGAAUUCCUGGUGUAGCGGUGAAAUGCGCAGAUAUCAGGAGGAACACCGGUGGCGAAGGCGGUUCUCUGGGCAUUACCUGACGCUGAGGAGCGAAAGUGUGGGGAGCGAACAGGAUUAGAUACCCUGGUAGUCCACACCGUAAA